rnacentral:rRNA from 1 species
GGGUUGUGAGGUUAAGCGACUAAGCGUACACGGUGGAUGCCCUGGCAGUCAGAGGCGAUGAAGGACGUGCUAAUCUGCGAUAAGCGCCGGUAAGGUGAUAUGAACCGUUAUAACCGGCGAUUUCCGAAUGGGGAAACCCAGUGUGACUCGUCACACUAUCAUUAACUGAAUCCAUAGGUUAAUGAGGCGAACCGGGGGAACUGAAACAUCUAAGUACCCCGAGGAAAAGAAAUCAACCGAGAUUCCCCCAGUAGCGGCGAGCGAACGGGGAUGAGCCCAGAGCCUGAAUCAGCAUGUGUGUUAGUGGAAGCGUCUGGAAAGGCGCGCGAUACAGGGUGACAGCCCCGUACACAAAAGCGCAUAUGCUGUGAGCUCGAUGAGUAGGGCGGGACACGUGGUAUCCUGUCUGAAUAUGGGGGGACCAUCCUCCAAGGCUAAAUACUCCUGACUGACCGAUAGUGAACCAGUACCGUGAGGGAAAGGCGAAAAGAACCCCGGCGAGGGGAGUGAAAAAGAACCUGAAACCGUGUACGUACAAGCAGUGGGAGCCCCACCACUAAGCCAGUGGUGAACUCCACAUACGCAUCCUUUGCUGAGGAUACGGUUAACGGAGCGAAAGCGACGUUCAACCUCAAAAGAAGCAGAGGGGGCUUAGUGGUGGGGUGACUGCGUACCUUUUGUAUAAUGGGUCAGCGACUUAUAUUCUGUAGCAAGGUUAACCGAAUAGGGGAGCCGGAGGGAAACCGAGUCUUAAU